AAUGUUUUCUGCCUUUGGUGGCACUGCUGUUUUUACAGUGUCUUUCUUGCCCUGGGACUCUUGUUGAUUUCUGCCUUAGAGGUCGAGGGCAGAGAUGUUCUAGUUCUCUCGGCGAGUUCCCAGGGGACUGGGAGUGGACUGGAUGCUAGCCAGGGCCAUUUAUUCUUGAAGAAACUAGAAACCAGUGGGAGAUUGCUCUGUUUAUUCAGAAGGAGUGAGAAAUAAACUAGCAUGUGACAGGGCAAAGAAGUUUAUCUUCAUCUAGACAAACUUUUAUUUUUAUAGGUCUAUAGAGGUGAUAAAAAUGAAGGUCAGGAGAGCAGGAAUGGCUGGUAGUAAAAUGAGAGAGAGAGAAAGAGAGUGUGUGUGUGUGUGUGUGAGAGAGAGAGAGAGAGAGAGAGAGAGAGAGAGAAAGAGGGAGGGAGGGAAGGAGGGAGAGAGAAGAGAGAGGUUUCUAUCCAGCAAAGGUUUUCAUGUAGAGUUGGGAUUCUCCCCCCUUAUUUUCUCUCUCAGUUCUUUUUUUAAAAAAAGGAAAAAGAAAAAAGAAAAUUUAGAAUAUAUAAAGCAUACAGAAAAGUAGAGUUAAUGAUAUAAUAAACAUCCAUGUACCCACCAUCAAAUGGGACAAACAUUCCAGACACCUGGAGGUAGAAGGAAGCACUGAUGAGCCAAUGAAGAUGCCCCAAGGAGAAGGGGUCCACGUUAACCAUCUUCCUGGCCCAGAGAAUGUGAAGCCACCCAGUCAGGGAGUCCAAGACUUAAGGUAAAAAAAUCAGAAUUCAUAACCAAGCUGAAGAAGUCUUCCUACCAUUGACAACAGAGAUGCUGCUGAGGAGAUCCCAAUUAGAGACCAGGGCUCAGUUACAAAGAUCCACCAGGUCAAUCCGGUUGUCCCAGCUGAAUUGCAGAAGAAGUGCAUCAGGAUAUCCAGCUGCUCAUUCUGAGACUGCCACCGACUGGCUGUGUGCGGUCACUUUCCUGCUCUGAGCAUCAGUUUUCUAGGAUCUGUAAAGAGAAAGGAACACUUUUAGGCCUAAAAAGGAGUAAAGAAGGCCGACAGAAGAAAUCAAGUCUGGGAUUCAUUCAGUAGACAACAGAGGAGCUGAAGGUGGAUAUAAGAGAAUUAAGAUGGUGACCCAUGAAGCCAUGGAGGAAGGAGAAGUAGUUAAUUGGAUUUCCAGGCAUUGCAGCCAGCCACGGCAAUUGAUCCCUGAAAAGAUGGAUUUAUUGCUUAGACAGGCAGAAUUCUGACAAUCUUCAGAGGAUGGAAAAUAAAAGAAAACAGCCCAUACACAGAGCACGGUGGGUCACCAUCAGGUCAGACCAGGAAGAUAUGUUACAGCUGGCAGGUUUGUGCUAGAACUUCAGGACGAGUAAUCUUCUCACUAAAUGGGCAGCACCAGGACCCAAUAGAAUUUUUUGUAGGAUAUUGUCAGUGAUCCAUGCUUAGGAAGAAACAUAGUCUAGGAUGGAGACCCCAAGGUAGAUGUUAGGUCCCAGACCGAUUGGACCCAUGGUUGGAAAAUUGAGUAAAUUUGAAAUAGCUCACACCUUUGGUGGUUUUGUCUGGAAUGAGACCUUAUUUUGCCUGGUGGGUGACUCUGUUGGAAUGCCAUAAUGGCUCAUGGUGCAGAACUAAUAUGGAACUCAUGCCUUAAGCUACUGUUUGCAGAGGGUCCUGGAAAUUUGCCAGUUGAGAAGCACCAGAACACUGCUCUCAGCUCUGCAAAAGUCUGACAUCCAUCUGACCAUUCACCCAUCCAUCCAUAUAAUAAUUUUUUAUUGAGUCCUUACUAUAGGCUAAGCACUUUGUUUGGUGGUAAACAUAGAGGAAUGGAUAAUAAAAAAACAGAGUUCCUAUGCUUCUGAAACUUACAGCCUAUUGGGCAAAUAAUUACAGGUUUGCUGAGAGUUAGCAAAGAGGGGUUUAGGGAGCUGCAGGAGUGUAUUACUGAUGGACCUACCCUGGUAGGGGCUGGGGAGGGCUUCCAGGAGAAAAUGCUGUGAGCUGAGACCCGAGAGACUGGAUAUCCCAAUGGACAAUGGUCAGACCAAAUGUAAAAUAGAACUCUGACUCACAAUCUGCAGCAACUAGCCAACCCAUCAUCUACAGCAACCAAGCUAGGCAGCCAGCCUGCUAUCUGUAAGUCAAGCUAUAGAAAAACCACCAUCUCUAGCAACCAGCCCAGGAAAGCCAAACAAUAACCCCAGUAACAAUUGGCUGGGACUUGAUUAAUAAGUAACAGUUUCUCUAAUUUCUAUCCCUACUUCCAACUUAGGAUCAACCAGAGAAAGCCAAAUAUGUACCCUUAACCAGUCACAUAGGAUGCUCCCACUUAAGGUUUCUCAUACCAAUAGCUUCUAGUCAGGGUACACCUGAAGCCUUCUCUUUGCAUUAUGAAACUUUCCCACUCCUCUGCCUGCCUUUGAGUCUGCCAAAACUCAAGUGAUCGUGGCUGAGUCCCUUGAUGUAGUAAGCUCUGAGUAAAUACCCUUUGCUUGUUCUCAUUUGGUUGGUCUUUGUUUAUUCCACAAACCUGAAUGAAGAAUGAGUGUGUGUGGGCCGGGCAGUAGUGGGGAAAAGAGUAUUCCAGGAGAGGGAACAGCACAUGCAAAGACCCUCAGACAAGGAUUAAGGUAUAUUCUUCAAACUGGACAGUCAAACAUGACCAAAAUGUGGAGGAUGAGGGAGAGACUGGCAUGAGCUGUAGCUGGGGAUAAGGUUUGGGGUGAGAGGUUGAAAUCAUGUAGGGCCUUGUGAGCUGUGUUGAUGAUUUUGGCCUUUACCCUAAACAGAGCCUCAUUUAUAACCGAUGCAUGGGGUUUUCCUCUUAACUAGAACUGCUCUGUAGCCCCCAUCUACUGCUCUUUAUGUGAGCUCCUAGUUCUUAUCUGAGGGCCUACCUGCUUUGAGACCUCCUUGUUUUCUGUUAGUCCUUUUUGUGAGGCAGAUGUGCAGGCAAAGAGAUAUUGCUGUGUAAGUCCCUGCUAAUUGUCAGGACCAGCUCCCUUGACCUUCUGGGCAGAGGUGAAGUAAGCCCUAGCUUGUCCAAGCUCCUUUCUGGGACUGUGCCCAGCAGAGUCUAGGGAGAAAGGUCAAUGUAGCAGAGACUAAGAAUUAUCCCCAUAUCUGUUCUCACCUUCAUCUACAGUGAUAGAACAUAUGGCCAACGAGAUUAGAGAGAUUUCCCAGUCUUCUGUGCAGCUCAUUAAUAGGCUUUUUGUCCAAGGUCAGGUCAAUGGGAUGUGAGGAGAAGUGAUAUAUGCAUUCUGGGACAUGCACUCAAAAGGAACAGGGCAUGCCCUUCCCUCCCUGCUGGCUGGAUUGUAGAGGUGGUACUGGGGAGCCAUUUGAGACCAUGUGUACCAAGGAUGGCAGAGCAACCAGAAAGAGUGCCAUGAUUGAUGGGGACUGCUUAUAUCUGGAAGUUUAGGCAAGAUAGAAGUAAAUGUUAUCUUUUCUAAGUCGCUGUUAUUUCAUUCCCUGCAACCACAGGUGACCUAUAUCUUAAUUCAGCAGUUUUCAAUGUGUAGUCCCAGAACCCAUGGGAGGGAUCUCUGAGACUCUUUCAUGAGGCUCACAAGGUCAGAACUACUUCAUAACAAUAUUGAAACUUUAUUUGCCUUUUUCACUUUCAUUCUUUCACAAGAAUAUAGCUGACUUUUCCAGAGGCUACAUGAUGAGAAAUAUCAUAACAGAUUGAAUGCAGAAGCUGAUACACUAAUAUAAGCCAGAUAUUAAAGAGGUUUGCAAGAGUAAAAAAAAAAAAAAAAAAAUCAGUGCCACUCUUCUCAAUAAGUUUUUUUGAAAAUAUAGUUUUUUAAAAAAGUAUGUUUACAUGUUUUUUUUUAAACAAGUUAAUGAAGAAACAUUUAAAAACUUCUCCAUUUUACUUUGUAAUGGUAAAUAUGGAAAGAUAUAAUCCACUUAUACAAAAGCACUUUGGGGUUGUCAGUAACUUUUAAGAGUGUAAAGAAGUCCAAAAUGUUGGAGAACCACUGCCCUAACUAAUACAGGUAGCUUGACCUUUCCUGUUGAUGAGCAGUUACCAGCUCUAUGUCCCAUGCACCUCUUAUUUUGGGGAUCAUCUCAAGUAGUCAUCCUCUUUCUUCUUUCUGCACCACUUCUGAUCCCUUCUCUCUUGGUGUCCUUUGACUAUCCAGGAACUGACUUCAUUUUAUAUAGAAUUGACUGGAUAUUUCAUACACCCACUCAAUAAUGAAGCCCUUAAUAUGGGCUAGUGAUUGCACUUGGUGUGGGGGUCAAGGACAACGAGAAGAACAUGGUUGCUACUUUGGCUUGGCUCAUAGUUUAGCCGUGGAAAGAGGCACUCAUCGGCACAAUGGUAGAUUGUAUAGGGCAGGGAGGUGACGCACGGAAGGGGAUGAUCAGCUCUUCCUAGGGGGAAGUGGGGACAGUGGAUCAGGAAAGUUUUAGGGCAGAGAUGACUUUGAGGGAACAUGAAAAAAGAAAUAUGAAGUAGCGAAUUUAUAUGCAGGGAGUGUAAGGAGGGGGAAGAACACCCAGGCAGAAGAAAGAGCAGGGGCAAAGGCACUGUGACUCCAUGGGGCAGGGUGUUUUUAGAAAAGUCCAAGUGGUUUGUUAUGGGAUGAGAAGCUGGAAAGGAGCCAGAACCCAUUAAGUAAUCAUAAACAGCUUGGCUUUUAUUCUUAAGACAGUAGGAAAUCAUGGAAUAAUUUUAGGCAUAUUUACCUUUAGAACUGUAGCAAAGGUUCUUCAACUUGUUUGGGGGCUCUGUUCACUUCUUUCCAAGAGAUGCUGCUAUGCUUGGCAUGGAUGGUAGGUGAGGUCUCUCUAGAGAGAACCCUUUUUCAGACUCAUAACAGUCCAUUAACAACCCCUCCAUUUUUGAGCGAGGUGGGACAAAGGAUCCUGAGUAUGGAUGUCAAGUUAUGUGUCCUUUUAAUUGCUCCGUCCGUGUGGAGCCCCAGGCAUCAGGGUCUAUACUCUAGAGAGGGAGGGGCUAUAUAAUAAUUAGAGAGAGCUAUUUUUACCUGUAAUUAUGACAACUUAGAAGUUAUAACUCAUUAUAACUUUAUGUUUGUAACUAAUUAUAAUAUUUUUGACACUUAAUAUAGGCACUCUUUAUGCAUGCAGCAUGUAUAAAUGCAUGUAAUCCUCACAGCAACCCCUUCAGGUAGGUCCUUCAGGUAUUAUGCCCCUUUUUAUGAUAGGGUAUUGAGGCACAGAGAGUUUAUGGGAUUAAGCACUGCAGCCUAGACCCUGAGGCUGCACUCUGGACUAGGACCCUGCAGUGCCUUCUGUCAGGAGCAGGGGACUCCAUGUAACAGGCUGGGGGACCUGUAAGAGGCUGGAGGUCCUGCAGGUAAGUUCAUUACUGAAAGAACUUUUACCUUCUCACCAAGGUCAGAGUGACUGGAGAACUUUUACCUUCUCACCAAGGUCAGAGUGACUGGAGAACUUUUACCUUCUCACCAAGGUCAGAGUGACUGGAGAAUACAUGGGUUAGAAGCCUGACCAGCCAUUUCAGCAUUACCUGGGAACUUGUUAGAAAGGCAAAUUCUUGGGCCUUGCCCCAGACCUACUGAAUCAGAAACUCUAAAGUUGGGGCCCAGCAGACUGUUUUUAGCAAUCCCUCUGGGUGGUUCUGAUGCAUAGUAAAAUUUGAUAACUGCUGGAUUAGAGAUAAAUCCCUGGGUGGGGCUGGCGAGGGUAUGGAGGGAGGGGUGGAGAAUAAUUGAAAGGAAAGACUCGGAGCCAAAAGCUCUUUUCUGAAGCUGUUGCCAUCACCAGAGUAAGAAAUCAGAGCCUAAGACCAAAUCCUCAACCUGGGCUGCACUUUAGAAUCAUCUGGGGAACUCUAAAAACAUAUCAGUGCACUGGCUUCACCCCAAGCCUAUUAGAUCAGAAUCUCUGGGGGGAUAGAACCCUGCCAUCAGUUUUUAAGAAAAAUUUCCCCAGGUGAUACUAAUGUGCAGCCAGGGUUAAGAAUCAGUGGUUCUCAAACUUGAAGAUGCAUCAAAAUCUCCUGGAGGGAGAUUCUGUUAAAC